rnacentral:misc_RNA from 1 species
AGGAACGAGUUCAGCCUCGAGUCGAAGUCUACGAUCGGGGUUGAGUUUGCGACGCGGACUCUUUCUGUUGACGGGAAGGUGAUCAAGGCUCAGAUCUGGGAUACAGCUGGGCAGGAACGGUACCGAGCCAUCACAAGUGCUUACUACCGAGGAGCCGUCGGCGCAUUACUAGUGUACGACGUCACUCGCCAUUCUACAUUCGAGAACGUCGAGCGAUGGCUGAAGGAGCUAAGGGUACACACUGAUCCAAAUAUAGUCGUCAUGCUUAUCGGGAACAAGUCCGAUCUCCGCCACCUUGUCGCUGUUUCAACUGAGGAUGCGAAAACCUUUGCUGAG